CCUACGGGAGGCUGCAGUGGGGAAUAUUGGACAAUGGGCGAAAGCCUGAUCCAGCCAUGCCGCGUGUAUGAAGAAGGCCUUCGGGUUGUAAAGCACUUUCAGUGGGGAAGAAAGCCUUGGGGCUAAUACCCUCGAGGAAGGACAUCACCCACAGAAGAAGCACCGGCUAACUCCGUGCCAGCAGCCGCGGUAAUACGGAGGGUGCGAGCGUUAAUCGGAAUUACUGGGCGUAAAGCGCGCGUAGGCGGUCUGAUAAGCCGGUUGUGAAAGCCCCGGGCUCAACCUGGGAACGGCAUCCGGAACUGUCAGGCUAGAGUGCAGGAGAGGAAGGUAGAAUUCCCGGUGUAGCGGUGAAAUGCGUAGAGAUCGGGAGGAAUACCAGUGGCGAAGGCGGCCUUCUGGACUGACACUGACGCUGAGGUGCGAAAGCGUGGGUAGCAAACAGGAUUAGAUACCCGGGUAGUC
rnacentral:rRNA from 1 species